UUUCUUCUCAAAAGCUUCUCCUUAAAAUCUUCCAAUGAAUCAUGGAUAUGGCAAACUCCUUUCCUUGCCAAACACUCAAAUAUAGAAGUUCAAGAUGAUGGAAUCGCAACAAUCUCUUAAUUUAAUAGGUAACAGGUUACCCUCUUUUCUUAGCCAACCAAUCACUCUGUUAUGUAUCCAAAACUAUGUGGCCAUCGUGUUGCC
rnacentral:lncRNA from 1 species